UCUUUCAACUCCUCAAUGGAUUCCAAUGAAAGAGGAAAAAAAGAAUCUGCCCUUAGUAAAAUGGACAAUUGACACUUCAAGGAAUCUGUCCAAGGUCUGGGAGAUCAUAAGAGAGUACAUAUUUAAUGGCUCACUUUGCUUCUAUUUCUUUCAGAACUGUGUCCCUUUAAAUCUACUGAGGAAGAUAUUCCUUCUGGCCCACAGGAUGCCAAAAUGACUUAGUGAUUUAUUUAUGCAGCACUUGGCAGCCUAUAGUCCAGAUUGUGGCUGAAGCUGAAUUUUAUGAGCCUUCCCCUAGAAGUAUUCGAAACCCAGGGGAUUGUGGUGAAAAAGACAAACACUGCCCCGUCUCGUCCGGAACAGACAUUUCAGAGGAGGGAGAUGGAUGAUAAAUAGGACACUGGAUUUUGUGGAUGCUCCUUGGACAUACUGGAAUGCACCUUGGGUAGCCCAUGGAUCAUUUUCCCCAGUAUGAAGCAUGGGAGGGCUGGAAAAUGAGCUCAUGAGCUGGUCGAGCCAGCACAACAAGCUGGAGCCAGGGACAAAGAUAUCCUUUUUAGCCACGUGUUUAAUUCUUCAAUGUCAAUAUUUGCAGAAAACAUAAGCACAGCAUGAUAUUGCCUUGGAGUUGUU